rnacentral:rRNA from 1 species
GGUGGUUCUGAAUGGAAGGGCCAUCGCUCAACGGAUAAAAGGUACUCCGGGGAUAACAGGCUGAUACCGCCCAAGAGUUCAUAUCGACGGCGGUGUUUGGCACCUCGAUGUCGGCUCAUCACAUCCUGGGGCUGAAGUAGGUCCCAAGGGUAUGGCUGUUCGCCAUUUAAAGUGGUACGCGAGCUGGGUUUAGAACGUCGUGAGACAGUUCGGUCCCUAUCUGCCGUGGGCGCUGGAGAACUGAGGGGGGCUGCUCCUAGUACGAGAGGACCGGAGUGGACGCAUCACUGGUGUUCGGGUUGUCAUGCCAAUGGCACUGCCCGGUAGCUAAAUGCGGAAGAGAUAAGUGCUGAAAGCAUCUAAGCACGAAACUUGCCCCGAGAUGAGUUCUCCCUGAGACUUAGAGUCUCCUGAAGGAACGUUGAAGACGACGACGUUGAUAGGCCGGGUGUGUAAGCGCAGCGAUGCGUUGAGCUAACCGGUACUAAUGAACCGUGAGGCUUAACCUU